CUCUUCUUGAGCUACACAGAGCAAGGUCCCAAAGCCCAGGCUCCAGCAGAAGCCCGAAUGUCUGCACCACAAUUAAACUGCCCCUUGGCUGAGCCCCAUCAGCUGGCACAGCCCGGCUGCAAGUUUUAGUUGCCCUCUAGACCAGGGACAGACCCUGGGAGCCCCAGCCAGAGAGCUGCAGCUCAAGCAGGAGCAGCCCCGGCUUUGAGCUCGGAGGUGCCGGGUUGAAUCCCCAGCACGCUGGCCGACGG